UAUUUGAGGUGUUUGGGCCGGUCUCCAGUCCCUUCUAUGUGUUGAGGUUUAACUCUCUCCUCCUCCAGGUAUUUGAGGUGUUUGGGCCGGUCUCCAGUCCCUUCUAUGUGUUGAGGUUUAACUCUCUCCUCCUCCAGGUAUUUGAGGUGUUUGGGCCGGUCUCCAGUCCCUUCUAUGUGUUGAGGUUUAACUCUCUCCUCCUCCAGGUAUUUGAGGUGUUUGGGCCGGUCUCCAGUCCCUUCUAUGUGUUGAGGUUUAACUCUCUCUCUCCUCCAGGUAUUUGAGGUGUUUGGGCCGGUCUCCAGUCCCUUCUAUGUGUUGAGGUUUAACUCUCUCUCUCCUCCAGGUAUUUGAGGUGUUUGGGCCGGUCUCCAGUCCCUUCUAUGUGUUGAGGUUUAACUCUCUCUCUCCUCCUCCAGGUAUUUGAGGUGUUUGGGCCGGUCUCCAGUCCCUUCUAUGUGUUGAGGUUUAACUCUCUCCUCCUCCAGGUAUUUGAGGUGUUUGGGCCGGUCUCCAGUCCCUUCUAUGUGUUGAGGUUUAACUCUCUCUCCUCCUCCAGGUAUUUGAGGUGUUUGGGCCGGUCUCCAGUCCCUUCUAUGUGUUGAGGUUUAACUCUCUCCUCCUCCAGGUAUUUGAGGUGUUUGGGCCGGUCUCCAGUCCCUUCUAUGUGUUGAGGUUUAACUCUCUCCUCCUCCAGGUAUUUGAGGUGUUUGGGCCGGUCUCCAGUCCCUUCUAUGUGUUGAGGUUUAACUCUCUCUCUCCUCCAGGUAUUUGAGGUGUUUGGGCCGGUCUCCAGUCCCUUCUAUGUGUUGAGGUUUAACUCUCUCUCUCCUCCAGGUAUUUGAGGUGUUUGGGCCGGUCUCCAGUCCCUUCUAUGUGUUGAGGUUUAACUCUCUCUCCUCCAGGUAUUUGAGGUGUUUGGGCCGGUCUCCAGUCCCUUCUAUGUGUUGAGGUUUAACUCUCUCCUCCUCCAGGUAUUUGAGGUGUUUGGGCCGGUCUCCAGUCCCUUCUAUGUGUUGAGGUUUAACUCUCUCUCUCC